rnacentral:lncRNA from 1 species
UAUGCAAAUACUAUGUGUAGCUUUUAGGUUAUUCUAGAUUAUAUUAGACUUUAAACGUGUCUCUCAAUCAUAUAGCCACCGCAUUUACUCUCCAAGACAAUCUCUUUGCAUUUGCUUCAUCUUUCUUUCUCUCCUCAAAAGCUUUGCCUACUCAUCGUCUUCUUCUUCAAUUUCUAUUUCUCAGUCUUUCAUCUUCAGGUACUGAGUUGUGCUGAAAUCUAUAUGUCGGAGAAGCAAUAGUCGAAUAGAAAUUUUCUUUUCAUUAUUUUAUAAGUUUAGAUGGAAAGCUAAUUCUAUUAAUGGGUGAAUUUUAUGAUUGUAACCUAGGAUUCUAAGUUGGGGAUUUUAUGAUUGUUUUAAUAUUUGUUAUUAUGUGGUUGUAAUAGUUGUAGCUUUUCAUACGGAAUCAAAGGAGUUCAACUUCUAAUGAAUAUGUUCUCUAUUUUCUGGAUGCCAAUGCAUUUUCUUUUUUGGAUCUGUUGUCUCUGAAAUUCAAAGUAAGCAUCAUUCUCCCUUCUUUUGCAGGUUUUACUUUUCCGUCUUCAAUUAUUCUUCCUUUUCUUGGAAUAGGAAUAAAAAAUGGCUAGCAUCUUCAACAUCAACAAUCCAGUGGUUGAUUGCUGAAUGCAAGAUGUGUCAAGAUGAAGAAUAGGACUAAAAUUUGAAAACUUUUUUGUCUUGUGCAAGGUUUUAAGAGACUUACUAUUAUGGUCUCAUUUUUUUAAUGUAUAAUAUGCUAUCAAUUGGUGUUUUGGUUUUUCGUUUGGAAUUGAAGCCAAUAUGUGUCACAAUUCGGAUUUUUCACCGUCGGGACCGUGAUGGCGCCUAACAUCGCACUCGCUAGGCAAGCCAACGUUAGAGUUAUAAUCACAUUUUUCCUUUACAUUUGCAUAGUUAAGAUUAACAAAAGCUAAUUCAAAC